GGAGGCACACCUGACUUGCCAAAGGAUGAAGACCAUAAGAAAACAUGUCAGGAGGAGACCACAGGUUUGAUGAGCUAAUUUGUGAUGUGGCAGAGAAGGAGUGAGUUUGAGGAAGCUAAGACACACUCUAAGUCACAAGAUGGAAUGACUCAUGCCUGUUUUGUACUCUUCUAAAUCCUGAGAUGCAGAAUAACUAUAUCAAAGUCAGCUGGAAUAUUCUAGAAUUCCAGGGACUCAGCCUGCCCAGUUCCUGGGAUCUUGUCUCCAGUUCAGCAAAGGUUGUUGCAGUGGAGAAAGAAACAACAGGAAGGAUCCAUGUCAGUUGUCCCAGGCUGCAGCCUGGGCAUGUCAAAUCUAUCAGGCAAAGACUGCAACAGUCACGUGGCUGAGUCGGGAUUUGGGCCUGAGUCUAUAAAGCCUACACUGUUUUGCACUAUGCAAGUAUUUGAGGCAAGUACAGAAUGUUCAAAUCUGUGUGGGAAAGAAAAACCCAGGCAAGCUAUGAAAGGGAGAAGAGUCAGGAGGCUGCUAAAGGGGUCCAGUGGGAAGCUGUGGAUUGCUGAACCAGGCUUGGGACGACGGUGGGCGUGGGGAGAAUGACCUCUAAAGUUGGUGGAAAUCUCUAAACCUGACCCCAUCCCUGAGGAUAUUUCCAAGAAUCAAGGCCAGGUUGUCAGAGUUCAACGUCUUUCCUGUUCUUCCGAUGGCCAGAGCAGACCACUCAUCCUGCAGAGGAGUGCAGAAGCCCGUGU